rnacentral:rRNA from 1 species
CGUCGCAGAGGGUGAGAAUCCCGUAUGCGGCCGAUGGCCGAGCCCAUGUGAAACCCUUUCGACGAGUCGAGUUGUUUGGGAAUGCAGCUCUAAAUGGGUGGUAAAUUUCAUCUAAAGCUAAAUAUCUGCCGGAGACCGAUAGCGCACAAGUAGAGUGAUCGAAAGAUGAAAAGCACUUUGAAAAGAGAGUCAAACAGUACGUGAAAUUGUUGAAAGGGAAGCGCUUGCAACCAGACUCGUUCGCGGGUGCUCAGCCGUCCCUCGGGGCGGUGCACUCUCCCGCGUUUCGGGCCAACGUCGGUUUCGGCGGCCGGACAAAGGCCUUGGGAACGUAGCUCUCUUCGGGGAGUGUUAUAUCCCGGGGUGCAAUGCGGCCAGCUGGGACCGAGGACCGCGCAUUAGCUAGGAUGUUGGCGUAAUGGUUGCCAGCGACCCGUCUUGAAACACGGACCAAGGAGUCGACCAAUUUGGCGAGUGUUAGGGUAUUAAACCCUUACGCGUAAUGAAAGUGACGUAGGUGGGAACCUUCGGGUGCACCAUCGACCGAUCCUGAUGUCUUCGGAUGGAUUUGAGUAUGAGCCUUGCUGGUCGGACCCGAAAGGUACGUUAUAUUUUUUCAUCCUUAUUUUGCACGCAUCUCGCAACGGCUUUACGUGCCUCGUUUGAUAAAUUCUUACUAACAUUAUAUUUAGAUGGUGAACUAUGCGUGAAUAGGGUGAAGCCAGGGGAAACCCUGGUGGAGGCUCGCAGCGGUUCUGACGUGCAAAUCGAUCGUCAAAUUUGCGCAUAGGGGCGAAAGACUAAUCGAACUAUCUAGUAGCUGGUUCCCGUCGAAGUUUCCCUCAGGAUAGCAGCAACGAAAACAGUCUCAUGAGGUAGAGCUAACGAUUAGAGGUCUUGGGGUUGUAAUCGACCUUWACCUAUUCUCGAACUUCGAAUAUGUGAGAAGU